rnacentral:rRNA from 1 species
UGCGUAGGCGGCCCGUUAAGUCAGGGGUGAAAGGCUGUAGCUCAACUACAGAAUUGCCUUUGAUACUGACAGGCUUGAAAUAAAUUGAGGUUGGCGGAAUGUGACAUGUAGCGGUGAAAUGCAUAGAUAUGUCAUAGAACACCAAUUGCGAAGGCAGCUGACUAGAUUUUAUUUGACGCUGAGGCACGAAAGCGUGUGGAGCGAACAGGAUUAGAUACCCUGGUAGUCC